AGCGUUGUUCGGAAUUACUGGGCGUAAAGGGCUCGUAGGCGGCCAACUAAGUCGGAUGUGAAAUCCCCAGGCUCAACCUGGGAACUGCAUCCGAUACUGGAUGGCUUGAAUUCGGGAGAGGGAUGCAGAAUUCCAGGUGUAGCGGUGAAAUGCGUAGAUAUCUGGAGGAAUACCGGUGGCGAAGGCGGCAUCCUGGACCGACAUUGACGCUGAGGAGCGAAAGCCAGGGGAGCAAACGGG
rnacentral:rRNA from 1 species